rnacentral:rRNA from 1 species
UACAGAGGGUGCAAGCGUUGUUCGGAAUUAUUGGGCGUAAAGCGCGCGUAGGCGGCCACUGCAAGUCGGUUGUGAAAUCUCCGGGCUUAACCCCGGAAAGGUCAAUCGAUACUGCAGGGCUAGAGUGCAGAAGGGGCAACUGGAAUUCUCGGUGUAGCGGUGAAAUGCGUAGAUAUCGAGAGGAACACCUGCGGCGAAGGCGGGUUGCUGGGCUGACACUGACGCUGAAGCGCGAAAGCUAGGGGAGCGAACGGG